CAGAAAAUAGCAGAGGGGCCUGAAAACAGAUGGGAACAUCUGGAAAAGGCAGUGGGGAGCUGUUGAGAGCAUUUUGAGUGGGGCAGUGACACUGCUGGCUCUGCAUUUUGGAAAGGUGGUUUUCAGAGCAGUUUGGAUGAUGCUGGGGAGUAGCUGACAGGUUGAAGAUCAGUCCUGAGGAGCAGGUCAGUGAAACAUGAUAAGGGCAUUGGCAUUCAGUCUGGGGCGUGAGCAGUGAGGCGGUCACCCAGGCUGGCUUGAGGGGCAGCACAAGCACACAAGCCCAAAUCAUAUCCGAGGAGAAGUGCAGAUCCACUUGGAGGAGCCAGGUUUGCCUUACAUCCAAGAGGCAAGCUCAAGGCUAGUGAUGAGCCAGAGGGCAGGGGCAGAGCAGAUGAAGGGACUCCAUGAGAGCGCAGGGCCAGGGUGGGACGCCAGGGCCGCUAGUGUGAGGGCUACUGCUGGAAAGGGCCGCAGGGCCCGAAUUGAAUGUGGGUGUGCAUGAGUGCAUGUAUGUGUGUUGGGCGUAUGUGUGGAUAGUGAUGCAUGCAUGCACAUGUCCUGGGCUGGGAGGAGAGGGCACUGGGUUAAAGGGUGACAGACUAGGGGAUAAUGAGGGCCCCCAAAGGCUUGGAGGGGAGACACACAGGCAGGAGUAGG
rnacentral:lncRNA from 10 species